UACGAAGGGGGCUAGCGUUGCUCGGAAUCACUGGGCGUAAAGCGCACGUAGGCGGAUUGCUAAGUCAGGGGUGAAAUCCUGGAGCUCAACUCCAGAACUGCCUUUGAUACUGGCGAUCUCGAGUCCGGGAGAGGUGAGUGGAACUGCGAGUGUAGAGGUGAAAUUCGUAGAUAUUCGCAAGAACACCAGUGGCGAAGGCGGCUCACUGGCCCGGUACUGACGCUGAGGUGCGACAGCGUGGGGAGCAAACAGG
rnacentral:rRNA from 1 species